GGGAGGCAGCAGUGAGGAAUAUUGGUCAAUGGGCGAGAGCCUGAACCAGCCAAGUAGCGUGAAGGAUGACUGCCCUAUGGGUUGUAAACUUCUUUUAUAAAGGAAUAAAGUCGGGUAUGUAUACCCGUUUGCAUGUACUUUAUGAAUAAAGAUCGGCUAACUCCGUGCCAGCAGCCGCGGUAAUACGGAGGAUCCGAGCGUUAUCCGGAUUUAUUGGGUUUAAAGGGAGCGUAGAUGGAUGUUUAAGUCAGUUGUGAAAGUUUGCGGCUCAACCGUAAAAUUGCAGUUGAUACUGGAUAUCUUGAGUGCAGUUGAGGCAGGCGGAAUUCGUGGUGUAGCGGUGAAAUGCUUAGAUAUCACGAAGAACUCCGAUUGCGAAGGCAGCCUGCUAAGCUGCAACUGACAUUGAGGCUCGAAAGUGUGGGUAUCAAACAGGAUUAGAUACCCUGGUAGUCCACACGGUAAACGAUGAAUACUCGCUGUUUGCGAUAUACUGCAAGCGGCCAAGCGAAAGCGUUAAGUAUUCCACCUGGGGAGUA
rnacentral:rRNA from 1 species